CAACAUUUUUCAUUGCUUUUUUCCCUAGGGUAAAUUAUUUAUCACAGUUUCUUUCCUAAUAUUUUAUAUAUAGUUUUAAUUGUAUCCAAUUAUGGUAUUUGUAGUACUGAAUAAUGAAGUUGAUCUUUGCUACGUUUACAAAAUCCCAGAAAAAGACAAUGUUCAGUGUUGAAGGUGAUGCAGAGUCAUUUCUUUCCCUAUAUUAUGGGUUCUAUUCCUUCAGCAAGUGAUUGUCAGUAUAAAUGCUUUUUUGUGCACAAAUGUUUGUGAGGCUGGAAAGUUGUCAGUGCGUGGAUGAAUAUUUUAAAACAUGGGCUAGUGAAGCGUUAGUUGUAACAACAUGGUUGCACUGAGAAGUGAGAUCCCCAACAGGUUUAAUUGCAGGACAUAAAAAGCUGGAGUGAGCAGUACAUUAGCGUUGGUAAUUUUCAUAAAAAGCGUCUGCUACAAAGAGAAGGAGCUUGGUGUAAGUUCAAUCACAUUUAAUCCUAAUUUCUCUGAAUGUGCUACAGAGGUUUGCUAAUAAAUACAAAAAUCUUUAUGUGCAAUAAAUAGAAAAGCUAUAACCAGCCUUAGAGUUUGCCAAGUGGGGAUAGAAGUAAAAUGAUUAUGUAGUAUGAUAAUUUGGGAUGACUGGAAAAGAUGCAAUGAAAACUUGGCAGUAUUAUCAGUAGUAGCAUAUCAGUCAGGGGGCACUGCUCAGUGAAGUUACCUUUGUGAUCUCAGGCAGGGGUCAGGACAUGUAUGACAGUAUUAUGACAAAUUUGAAGACAAAGAACAGUACUCUUUGCUAAAUGUUUUUUGCUUAGGUAGAACCUUAAUUAAAAUUAUUCUUCCUUGCCAGUGCUUUGUUAGCUGAUCAUAUUUUGCUAAUAUUGUUAUGAACAUGUUUAAGCAAGAAAAGGUAUGAUGUCAGCCAAGUCCUAGCCUGGCCCUACGUGUCCUGACUGCCUCCACGUUGUACGCUCUCCAGCUCGUGCUAGCAUACCAGUCCCAUCUUUGAUAUGUAUUCAUAUGUUCUUAAAUAAAAUAUACAAUGUCUUU